rnacentral:misc_RNA from 1 species
UGCAACAGCACUUUUAGCUUCUCUGACAGUCUUUCUUUGUUUCAACUAAAAUACAGUCUAAAUAUCUUUUGCUUACACCCAAAAACUAAUUCACCAGCCAGUAAGAAUAGGGAUAGCUGAACCCACUCACCACCAUUCUCGUCUUUAGACUUUACUUUAGUAUAGGGUAGAAAAAUUCAGUUGAACUAGCUCUGGUAUAGACUAGGGGUUCCAGGGUCCAAGCGGCACAUCCCCACCCAGAAAUUCCCAAAAUACCUCCCCCGGGGGCCGCACUCCUUUUGGUCAGGAGCGCGACCUCUGGGGACGAGAAUAGAGUAAUGGAGUAAGGGCCUGGGAACAAGGGUACUUCCCACGAUCCUCUUGUAAUGAUAGAACGCUUUUAAAAGUAUAAAGGAUGCGAACGAUCACAACGGAGUUUUCAAACUCAACAGUUAUUAUGACUUACAGUGGGAAGAGCCACCAAAAUUGCCGUUCGAGAGACAAAUAUACUGCUACGGUCAAGUUUGCUAGAGGAUAGCUGGGAUCACGUCAGACGUGCCUUCAGCCGCGAGUGAUGAUAGGUGCCUGUUUUCGCAGGCUACUUUUUCGGUAAUUCCAGCAGCAUCAUGUACAGAAGACCACUGAGUUUCAUUAGUCACCAUAUCACCACAAGAUAAGCCAAGAACAGUGAAACUUUUAUCAAGCAGUCACCCCAUGGGACCUGCUCUUGAAUCUCAAGACUAAUAGUAGAGGUGUCCAUUGAAUUCAUGUUACUUAAUGUUAAAAAGGUUUAGAAUUCACUGACUGAAA